CUGAAGGAAACACAACCAGAAGCUCAGAGGAUCUCUACAUACAGGAAGGUUCUCUACAUUUACAGAAUGGAACGUUCUCUACAUCUACUGAGAGGAAGGUUCUCUACAUCUACUGAGAGGAAGGUUCUCUACAUCUACUGAGAGGAAGGUUCUCUACAUCUACUGAGAGGAAGGUUCUCUACAUCUACUGAGAGGAAGGUUCUCUACAUCUACUGAGAGGAACGUUCUCCACAUCUACUGAGAGGAACGUUCUCCACAUCUACUGAGAGGAAGGUUCUCCACAUCUACUGAGAGGAACGUUCUCCACAUCUACUGAGAGGAACGUUCUCUACAUCUACUGAGAGGAACGUUCUCCACAUCUACUGAGAGGAAGGUUCUCUACAUCUACUGAGAGGAAGGUUCUCUACAUCUACUGAGAGGAAGGUUCUCUACAUCUACUGAGAGGAGCGUUCUCUACAUCUACUGAGAGGAAGGUUCUCCACAUCUACUGAGAGGAACGUUCUCUACAUCUACUGAGAGGAGCGUUCUCUACAUCUACUGAGAGGAGCGUUCUCUACAUCUACUGAGAGGAAGGUUCUCCACAUCUACUGAGAGGAACGUUCUCCACAUCUACUGAGAGGAAGGUUCUCCACAUCUACUGAGAGGAACGUUCUCCACAUCUACAGAGAGGAACGUUCUCCACAUCUACUGAGAGGAAGGUUCUCCACAUCUACUGAGAGGAAGGUUCUCUACAUCUACUGAGAGGAAGGUUCUCUACAUCUACUGAGAGGAGCGUUCUCUACAUCUACUGAGAGGAAGGUUCUCCACAUCUACUGAGAGGAAGGUUCUCCACAUCUACAGAGAGGAAGGUUCUCUACAUCUACUGAGAGGAAGGUUCUCUACAUCUACUGAGAGGAAGGUUCUCUACAUCUACAGAGAGGAAGGUUCUCUACAUCUACUGAGAGGAGCGUUCUCUACAUCUACUGAGAGGAGCGUUCUCUACAUCUACUGAGAGGAAGGUUCUCUACAUCUACUGAGAGGACCGUUCUCCACAUCUACAGAGAGGAACGUUCUCCACAUCUACUGAGAGGAAGGUUCUCCACAUCUACUGAGAGGAAGGUUCUCUACAUCUACUGAGAGGAGCGUUCUCUACAUCUACUGAGAGGAGCGUUCUCUACAUCUACUGAGAGGAAGGUUCUCUACAUCUACUGAGAGGAAGGUUCUCCACAUCUACAGAGAGGAACGUUCUCCACAUCUACUGAGAGGAAGGUUCUCUACAUCUACUGAGAGGAGCGUUCUCUACAUCUACUGAGAGGAGCGUUCUCUACAUCUACUGAGAGGAAGGUUCUCUACAUCUACUGAGAGGAAGGUUCUCCACAUCUACAGAGAGGAACGUUCUCCACAUCUACUGAGAGGAAGGUUCUCUACAUCUACUGAGAGGAGCGUUCUCUACAUCUACUGAGAGGAGCGUUCUCUACAUCUACUGAGAGGAAGGUUCUCUACAUCUACUGAGAGGAAGGUUCUCUACAUCUACUGAGAGGAAGGUUCUCUACAUCUACUGAGAGGAGCGUUCUCUACAUCUACUGAGAGGAAGGUUCUCUACAUCUACUGAGAGGACCGUUCUCCACAUCUACAGAGAGGAACGUUCUCUACAUCUACUGAGAGGAAGGUUCUUUACAUCUACUGAGAGGAACGUUCUCCACAUCUACAGAGAGGAACAUUCUCUACAUCUACUGAGAGGAACGUUCUCCACAUCUACAGAGAGGAACAUUCUCUGCAUCUACUGAGAGGAACGUUCUCUACAUCUACAGAGAGGAACGUUCUCUACAUCUACUGAGAGGAACGUUCUCUACAUCUACUGAGAGGAACGUUCUCCACAUCUACUGAGAGGAAGGUUCUCUACAUCUACUGAGAGGAAGGUUCUCCACAUCUACAGAGAGGAACGUUCUCCACAUCUACUGAGAGGAAGGUUCUCUACAUCUACUGAGAGGAGCGUUCUCUACAUCUACUGAGAGGAGCGUUCUCUACAUCUACUGAGAGGAAGGUUCUCUACAUCUACUGAGAGGACCGUUCUCCACAUCUACAGAGAGGAACGUUCUCCACAUCUACUGAGAGGAAGGUUCUCUACAUCUACUGAGAGGAAGGUUCUUUACAUCUACUGAGAGGAACGUUCUCCACAUCUACUGAGAGGAACAUUCUCUACAUCUACUGAGAGGAGCGUUCUCCACAUCUACUGAGAGGAAGGUUCUCUACAUCUACAGAGAGGAACGUUCUCUACAUCUACAGAGAGGAACGUUCUCUACAUCUACUGAGAGGAAGGUUCUCCACAUCUACUGAGAGGAACGUUCUCCACAUCUACUGAGAGGAACGUUCUCUACAUCUACUGAGAGGAGCGUUCUCUACAUCUACUGAGAGGAAGGUUCUCUACAUCUACUGAGAGGACCGUUCUCCACAUCUACAGAGAGGAACGUUCUCUACAUCUACUGAGAGGAAGGUUCUUUACAUCUACUGAGAGGAACGUUCUCCACAUCUACAGAGAGGAACAUUCUCUACAUCUACUGAGAGGAACGUUCUCCACAUCUACAGAGAGGAAUAUUCUCUGCAUCUACUGAGAGGAACGUUCUCUACAUCUACAGAGAGGAACAUUCUCUACAUCUACUGAGAGGAACGUUCUCUACAUCUACUGAGAGGAGCGUUCUCCACAUCUACUGAGAGGAAGGUUCUCUACAUCUACUGAGAGGAACGUUCUCUACAUCUACUGAGCGGAAGGUUCUCUACAUCUACUGAGAGGAAGGUUCUCUACAUCUACUGAGAGGAGCGUUCUCCACAUCUACUGAGAGGAACAUUCUCCACAUCUACAGAGAGGAACGUUCUCUACAUCUACUGAGAGGAAGGUUCUCUACAUCUACUGAGAGGAGCGUUCUCCACAUCUACUGAGAGGAAGGUUCUCUACAUCUACUGAGAGGAGCGUUCUCCACAUCUACUGAGAGGAAGGUUCUCUACAUCUACUGAGAGGAGCGUUCUCCACAUCUACUGAGAGGAAGGUUCUCUACAUCUACUGAGAGGAGCGUUCUCCACAUCUACUGAGAGGAAGGUUCUCUACAUCUACAGAGAGGAACAUUCUCUACAUCUACAGAGAGGAACAUUCUCUACAUCUACUGAGAGGAACGUUCUCCACAUCUACAGAGAGGAAGGUUCUCCACAUCUACAGAGAGGAAUAUUCUCUGCAUCUACUGAGAGGAACGUUCUCUACAUCUACAGAGAGGAACAUUCUCUACAUCUACUGAGAGGAACGUUCUCUACAUCUACUGAGAGGAGCGUUCUCCACAUCUACU